GACGAACGCUGGCGGCGUGCUUAACACAUGCAAGUCGAGCGGUGCGGCGAACGGGCGAGUAACGCGUGAGUAACUGCCCCCCUCUCUGGGGAAACAGUUGGAAACGGCUGCCAAUACCGGAUAGUGUGGGAUGACUCGGGUCCUAUCGGCUUGUUGGUGGGGUAGUGGCCGACCAAGGCGACGACGGGUAGCCGGCCUGGGAGGGCGACCGGCCACAAUGGUCUGAGAUACGGACCAAACUGCUACAGUGGGCAGUAGGUGGGAAGAGGUCGCAGUGGGGGAGACUGUGAUGCAGAGGCGCCGGGUGCGGGAUGACGGUCGUGGGGUGGUAAACCGCUUUAAGCCAUGACGCGUUAGUGGCAGAAGAAGCACCGGCUAACUCCGUGCCAGCAGCCGCGGUAAUUC
rnacentral:rRNA from 1 species